UCUAGUUUCCGUGCCCAACAUUUGACCAUUCCUCUUAUUUGAAAAAAUUAUGAAAAAAAUUAAAAGACAAGUCACGCAUAAAAUAUUAAUCAUGUUUUAUCAUCUAACAACAAUGAAAAUACGAAUUAUAAAAAAAUUUUAUAUAAGACGGACAGUCAAAAUUAGACACGGAAACCCAGGGUUUGCCUUUUU
rnacentral:pre_miRNA from 1 species